UACAGAGGUCCCGAGCGUUGUUCGGAUUCAUUGGGCGUAAAGGGUGCGUAGGCGGCGGGGCAAGUCUGAUGUGAAAUCCCGGGGCUCAACCCCGGAACUGCAUUGGAUACUGCCUUGCUAGAGUACUGGAGAGGAAACUGGAAUUUACGGUGUAGCAGUGAAAUGCGUAGAGAUCGUAAGGAAGGCCAGUGGCGAAGGCGAGUUCCUGGACAGUUACUGACGCUGAGGCGCGAAAGCUAGGGGAGCAAACAGG
rnacentral:rRNA from 1 species